rnacentral:rRNA from 1 species
GACGAACCGUGCGAACGUUAUUCGGAAUCACUGGGCCUAAAGCGCGUGUAGGCGGGCCGGCACGUCCGACGCUGAAAUCCCCCGGCUCAACCGGGGAAGGGGCGCGGAUACGACCGGCCUGGAGGGGGGUAGGGGGAGCGGGAACUGCCGGUGGAGCGGUGAAAUGCGUUGAGAUCGGCAGGAACGCCCGCGGCGAAAGCGCGCUCCUGGACCCCGCCUGACGCUGAGACGCGAAAGCCAGGGGAGCGAACGGG